rnacentral:rRNA from 1 species
UGGGGAAUAUUGGACAAUGGGCGCAAGCCUGAUCCAGCCAUGCCGCGUGAGUGAUGAAGGCCCUAGGGUUGUAAAGCUCUUUCACCGGUGAAGAUAAUGACGGUAACCGGAGAAGAAGCCCCGGCUAACUUCGUGCCAGCAGCCGCGGUAAUACGAAGGGGGCUAGCGUUGUUCGGAUUUACUGGGCGUAAAGCGCACGUAGGCGGACUUUUAAGUCAGGGGUGAAAUCCCGGGGCUCAACCCCGGAACUGCCUUUGAUACUGGAAGUCUUGAGUAUGGUAGGGGUGAGUGGAAUUCCGAGUGUAGAGGUGAAAUUCGUAGAUAUUCGGAGGAACACCAGUGGCGAAGGCGGCUCACUGGACCAUUACUGACACUGAGGUGCGAAAGCGUGGGGCGCAAACAGG